rnacentral:rRNA from 1 species
AGAUAAGCCAUGCAUGUCUAAGUAUAAACGAUUUAAUCGUGAAACCGCGAAUGGCUCAUUAUAACAGCUAUAAUUUACUUGAUCUUGACACAAUCCUACUUGGAUAACUGUGGUAAUUCUAGAGCUAAUACAUGCAUUAAAGCUCUGACCUCACGGGAAGAGUGCAUUUAUUAGAACAAAACCAAGCGGCUUCGGCUGUUUCUGGUUGACUCAUAGUAACUGAGCUGAUCGCAUGGUCUUGCACCGGCGACGUGUCUUUCAAGUAUCUGCCGUAUCAACUUUCGAUGGUAGUGUAUCUGACUACCAUGGUGAUCACGCGUAACGGAGAAUAAGGGUUCGGCUCCGGAGAGUUCGCCUGAGAAAUCGCGAACACAUCUAAGGAAGGCAGCAGGCGCGAAAAUUACCCACUCUCAGCACGAGGAGGUAGUGACGAAAAAUAACGAGACCGUUCUCUUAUGAGGCCGGUCAUCGGAAUGGGUACAAUUUAAACCCUUUAACGAGUAUCUAUAAGGC